rnacentral:tRNA from 1 species
GCUUGUCUAGUUCAGUUGGUAGGGUGCAAGGCUUUUAACCUUGAGGUUGUGGGUUCGAGCCCAUGGUGAGCG